AGAUUGAACGCUGGCGGCGUGCCUAACACAUGCAAGUCGAGCGGUAACAGGUGUAGCAAUACAUGCUGACGAGCGGCGAACGGGUGAGUAAUGCUUUGGAAUCUUCCCAGUAGUGGGGAAUAACCAGUCGAAAGAUUAGCUAAUACCGCAUACGUCUGUAAAGGGAAAGCGGGGGCUCGUAAGACCUCGCGCUAUUGGAUGAGCCAAAGUUGGAUUAGCUAGUUGGUGGGGUAAUGGCCUACCAAGGCGACAAUCCGUAGCUGGUCUGAGAGGACGACCAGCCACACCGGAACUGAGACACGGUCCGGACUCCUACGGGAGGCAGCAGUGGGGGAAUAUUGGACAAUGGGGGAAACCCUGAUCCAGCGACGCCGCGUGUGUGAAGAAGGCCUGCGGGUUGUAAAGCACUUUUAGUGGGGACAAAAAGCUACGGACUAAUAUUCUGUGGUCUUGAUUUAACCCAAGAAAAGCACCGGCUAACUCUGUGCCAGCAGCCGCGUAA
rnacentral:rRNA from 1 species